CUCGAAUUUUGUGGAAUGGAAUAAGUUUUGACGGUCACGCGUGAGAGCGGAUACAUGGCGUUUGCUUUUAGUAAAGCAGACUCGUGACCCAAACGUACGGCGGGUGAAAUAUUAAAGGAGACAUAACAUGAAAAACCCACUUUUUUUAUCUGUUAACACAGUGUGUUUCACAUUUUAAGUGUCUAAGUGAGCAAAAAGGCUUAUAUUAUUCACUGGAGUUGCUAUUUAGAUAUUUAAUGAUUAAGUUUUGGGCAUAUUUGUCCACCCGUUCAGUUUUUCAAAUUAUCUAUUAAAUCAGUAAUUUAUUUCGUCAGGAUAACUACCAAAUAUGGUAAUGGCCCUCGGCUAAACACAGAGCCAAUCCGCCAUUUUUUCUUCUCGCUAAGAUUUUUUGUAGUCCUAUUGGAAAAAUGCAGAAUGUCUGGUUAUUUUAGCCACACACAGCUCAAAACUGUUCCUCGUUUUAAGGAAGGAUGGUGUGGCAGUAUUUAAACCCAGGAGCUGAUGACACUACUGCUAAAAAAAAAACAGAAGAAAAAGUAGUGUUUGUGUGUGUGUGUGUGUGUGUGUGUGUGUGUGUGUGUGUGUGUGUGUGUGUGCGCGCGCGCGCGUGGUUCGUUCGUGUCUCCUGGCUAGUAAGUACCGAGGGCUUCAUCUAUCUAAAAGGAGUCAUUCCCAUCUGAAUGUGACAGCACCGGGACACAGCAGCAGAGCGGUAAGCUUCAUAUCACUCUAAAAUGUCGACAAACUUUACUUUAGAUUUACGGGCAUUAGCAGCACUAAAGCGUUAGCAUCCGGCUUGCUAUCGCUAGCACAUUAUGCUAGUAAAGUUAGCACCCAGAUUAAUGUGGAUUUGGCUGAUUUUCGUGGAAUAAAACGUGAUUUCUGAUCAACGCCUUCUUUUACACCAGAUGUACAUCCACUGAUUGUAGCAGCAGAGAGCCUGUGUGUUAUUUUACGUGAGUGUGAUGUAAUCUUAGCAUCCAGUAAAUAAAGUCCCAUAUCAGCUAAAAUGCAGCGUGACAAAGUCAUUAAAGUGCGUCAACACAGUGGAUUUAAUAGUUUUAAAGAACAAUCUCUGAGUGAAGUGAGGUUAGUUUUUUGUCUCACUGCAGAUAUAAAAACGAACUCUGCAUCAGUCAGACGCAGCAAAGCUCACCGUCUGUAUGAGCGUGAGCAUCGGAAAGCUGAUCAAAUCAGCUGUAAAAUAAUUAAAACAACAGUAAAAAUGCUCCUUUGCUUUUUAGAGUCCACAUCCAGAAGUCUGGAGCCGUGUUUCACUGACAGGCUGUCAGCCUAACGCCCUGAUGAGCUCAGCUGGGACAAACUGGUCUGAUGUUUAGGAACACAGAACGCUCAGAUGUUGGAGCUCACGUCACCUACUGAGGAAGGAGACCCACCAGUAAAGAGACGGUCUGGACCAGACCAAAAAUAUGGCGAUGACAUCAUGGAACUGGUCUUUGGAAAAGUUUUCCCUGAACCAACUCCGUUUCUAGAUGAGGUAGAGAAGAUCUGCAUCUCACCAACUCUCUGGUCUCAGUAUUCAGACAACGGAGGUCUCCCACUGUUAUCCAGGACCAGUUUGAAGCCCACAUACUUCCCCUCCCUCAUCAUCAGGAAACAUCAAUCCGUAUCCUGAGGACAACAGAAGACGGCAGGAGGACAGGAACUCUGAGACCUAGAUACCACCAGCACCGGGACACAAAGCACCUGUGUGCACAACGCCUGUUUAACUACUAAAGCCAGUUUAUUAUAUAGUUCUAC